AUGUCUUCUGACUCAAGGCUAUGGGCAGUUGCAGUUGGGGAAGUGAAAAGGAAACUAGAUUCCACUGAUUGUUUUAACGUGACUGCUAAAACAGACAGCCAGAGAUCAAAGAAAAAAGCUUUAAUUUUCUCCAGGGAUACAGAAAUCAGGUUCCGUUCAAAAUAAUACUGUGUAAUUACUGUAUAUUCCCAAGGAUAUGCAGGACAGUAAAAUGCUGAACAACAUACUGAAGAGAAAAGGGAUUUUCUGAACUCGCCUUCUGGUUAACAGAAAAAUUGUUUAGAACAAGAAUGCAACAAACCAUGGCUACUCGAUCAAGCCCGAUGCUGAACAGAGUAAAAUUG
rnacentral:lncRNA from 1 species